CCUACGGGUGGCAGCAGUGGGGAAUAUUGCACAAUGGGCGAAAGCCUGAUGCAGCAACGCCGCGUGAGGGAUGAAGGCUUUCGGGUUGUAAAGCUCUGUCCUCAAGGAAGAUAAUGACGGUACUUGUGAAGGAAGCCCCGGCUAACUCCGUGCCAGCAGCCGCGGUAAUACGUCGGGGGCAAGCGUUAUCCGGAAUUACUGGGCGUAAAGGGGGCGUAGGUGGUUUGUUAAGUUAGAGGUGAAAGGCCGAGGCUCAAACCUAGUAAAGCAUUUGAAACUGGGGGACUUGAGUGUAGGAGAGGAGAGUGGAAUUCCUAGUGUAGCGGUGAAAUGCGUAGAUAUUAGGAGGAACACCAGUUGCGAAGGCGGCUUUCUGGACUAUGACUGACGUUGAGGCACGAAAGCGUGGGGAGCAAACAGGAUUAGAUACCCGUGUAGUC
rnacentral:rRNA from 1 species